rnacentral:miRNA from 1 species
UUUUCUCAUCUUCUUGUUGUU